rnacentral:sRNA from 1 species
GGACAAGAAAGUGAGCCGCUUCCGGAGGAAGGGCUCCAUGCCUAGGGGGCCUGGUUGCGGACGAAGGCGCAUGGAGCAGACUCUGGAUAAAAAUAUAAGCUCUCAGCUACUGCUCCAGCACCAGGCCUGCUGCCCGCACUCCACACCAUGACAGUCACGGACUCACUCUUUGAAACUUUCCAGGUCUUCUGGCAUUCUCACACUGGUGUGCCUGCAAGCAAAACACUGAUGAACAUAAAAUAAAGAAUUAAAAAGAAAGAAAUGGGGGCUGAGGAGAUGGCUCAGCGGUUAAGAACACCAACUG